rnacentral:rRNA from 1 species
GACGAACGCUGGCGGCGUGCCUAACACAUGCAAGUCGAACGAGGUCCAAGGAAGCUUGCUUCCUGACGACCUAGUGGCGAACGGGUGAGUAACACGUGAGAAACCUGCCUCGGAGUGGGGAAUAACUCGGGGAAACUCGAGCUAAUACUGCAUGUCUUCACAUGAUCGCAUGGUCGAGUGAAGAAAGAAUUUCGCUCUGAGAGGGUCUCGCGGCCUAUCAGCAUGUUGGUGGGGUAACGGCCCACCAAGGCAACGACGGGUAGCUGGUUUGAGAGAACGAUCAGCCACACUGGGACUGAGACACGGCCCAGACUCCUACGGGAGGCAGCAGUGGGGAAUCUUGCGCAAUGGGCGAAAGCCUGACGCAGCAACGCCGCGUGCGGGAUGACGGCCUUCGUGGUUGUAAACCGCUUUCAGCAGGGACGAAAAUGACGGUACCUGCAGAAGAAGCCCCGGCUAACUACGUGCCAGCCGCCGCCGUAA